UACGUAGGGGGGCUAGCGUUGUCCGGAUUUAUUGGGCGUAAAGAGCGUGUAGGCGGCCAGGUAGGUCUGCUGUGAAAACUCGAGGCUCAACCUCGAGACGUCGGCGGAAACCAUCUGGCUAGAGUCCGGAAGAGGAGAGUGGAAUUCCUGGUGUAGCGGUGAAAUGCGCAGAUAUCAGGAAGAACACCCGUGGCGAAGGCGGCUCUCUGGGGACGGUACUGACGCUGAGACGCGAAAGCGUGGGGAGCGAACAGG
rnacentral:rRNA from 1 species